rnacentral:rRNA from 1 species
UGGGGAAUAUUGCACAAUGGGCGCAAGCCUGAUGCAGCCAUGCCGCGUGUAUGAAGAAGGCCUUCGGGUUGUAAAGUACUUUCAGCGGGGAGGAAGGGAGUAAAGUUAAUACCUUUGCUCAUUGACGUUACCCGCAGAAGAAGCACCGGCUAACUCCGUGCCAGCAGCCGCGGUAAUACGGAGGGUGCAAGCGUUAAUCGGAAUUACUGGGCGUAAAGCGCACGCAGGCGGUCUGUCAAGUCGGAUGUGAAAUCCCCGGGCUUAACCUGGGAACUGCAUUCGAAACUGGCAGGCUAGAGUCUUGUAGAGGGGGGUAGAAUUCCAGGUGUAGCGAUGAAAUGCGUAGAGAUCUGGAGGAAUACCGGUGGCGAAGGCGGCCCCCUGGACAAAGACUGACGCUCAGGUGCGAAAGCGUGGGGAGCAAACAGG